CAUUAAGAAGCUUUCAUG
rnacentral:tRNA from 1 species